AAGUACGCACACUAAGGCUGGGCCGUUAUGGGGACCGAAAACAAGUAGGGAAGCUGUUGAAUUCACGCUGGCAAGAAAAGCUGCUAAGGAGAAUUGCCGUGCCCGUACCGCAAACCGACACAGGUGGGCGAGGAGAGAAUCCUAAGACGAACGGGAGAACCCUUGUUAAGGAACUCGGCAAAAUGACCCCGUAACUUCGGGAUAAGGGGAGCCUCGAAAGAGGCCGCAGAGAAUAGGCCCAAGCGACUGUUUAGCAAAAACACAGGUCUGUGCGAAGUAGAGAUACGACGUAUACGGGCUGACGCCUGCCCAGUGCCGGAAGGUUAAGGGGAAGUGUUAGGGCAACCGAAGCACGGAACUUAAGCCCCGGUGAACGGCGGCCGUAACAAUAACGGUCCUAAGGUAGCGAAAUUCCUUGUCGGGUAAGUUCCGACCCGCACGAAUGGCGUAACGACUUGGGCACUGUCUCAACAAGGGACCCGGCGAAAUUGUAGUAUGUGUGAAGAUGCACAUUACCCGCGACUGGACGGAAAGACCCCGUAGAGCUUUACUGUAGCUUGGCAUUGGAUUUUGGUAACAUAUGCACAGAAUAGGUGGGAGGCUUAGAAGCAGUGACUCCGGUCAUUGUGGAGCCAACUUUGGGAUACCACUCUUGUGUUACUGAGGUUCUAACGAACGGCCGUGAUCCGGCGUUUGGACAGUGCCAGGUUGCAGUUUGACUGGGGCGGUCGCCUCCCAAAGAGUAACGGAGGCGUUCAAAGGUUCCCUCAGAAUGGUUGGAAACCAUUCGCAGAGUGCAAAGGCAGAAGGGAGCCUGACUGCGAGACCGACAGGUCGAGCAGAUACGAAAGUAGGACUUAGUGAUCCGGCGGUAUGAGAGUGGAAUUGCCGUCGCUCAACGGAUAAAAGCUACCUCGGAUAACAGGCUUAUCUCCCCCAAGAGUCCACAUCGACGGGGAGGUUUGGCACCUCGAUGUCGGCUCGUCGCAUCCUGGGGCUGGAGUAGGUCCCAAGGGUUUGGCUGUUCGCCAAUUAAAGCGGCACGCGAGCUGGGUUCAGAACGUCGUGAGACAGUUCGGUCCCUAUCCAUCGUGGGCGCAGGAGAUUUGAGGGGCGCUGUCCUUAGUACGAGAGGACCGGGAUGGACGCACCAAGGGUGAAUCAGUUGUCGUGCCAACGGCAUAGCUGGGUAGCCAUGUGCGGAGCGGAUAAACGCUGAAGGCAUCUAAGCGUGAAGCCGACCUCAAGAUAAGAUCUCCCAUUCGGUUAACGAAGUAAGACCCCUUGUAGACCACAAGGUUGAUAGGUCGGAGGUGGAAGCGCGGUAACGCGUGAAGCUGACCGAUACUAAUAGGUCGAGGGCUCG
rnacentral:rRNA from 1 species